AUCAUUCUAUUCUGUUAUUCUAAUGUUAGUGCAGUGCAAGUGCAUGGUGAACACUCUUCCUUAAUGAUAGGUUUGAUUUGAGUAGGCAUUCAUAUUUGUCGUUGCAAAACGUCCUCGAGAUAUUCUUCAGCAUGCAUAACACAAAUUUUCGGUAUUCAUGUCACACCCCUUUAUCGCAUGUCUACCCUUUAUCAAACCCUUUAUCG
rnacentral:lncRNA from 1 species